rnacentral:rRNA from 1 species
CCUACGGGCGGCAGCAGUGAGGAAUAUUGGUCAAUGGACGAGAGUCUGAACCAGCCAAGUAGCGUGAAGGAUGACUGCCCUAUGGGUUGUAAACUUCCUUUAUAUGGGAAUAAAAUGUUCCACGUGUGGGAUUUUGUAUGUACCAUAUGAAUAAGGAUCGGCUAACUCCGUGCCAGCAGCCGCGGUAAUACGGAGGAUCCGAGCGUUAUCCGGAUUUAUUGGGUUUAAAGGGAGCGUAGGUGGAUUGUUAAGUCAGUUGUGAAAGUUUGCGGCUCAACCGUAAAAUUGCAGUUGAAACUGGCAGUCUUGAGUACAGUAGAGGUGGGCGGAAUUCGUGGUGUAGCGGUGAAAUGCUUAGAUAUCACGAAGAACUCCGAUUGCGAAGGCAGUUCACUGGACUGCAACUGACACUGAGGCUCGAAAGUGUGGGUAUCAAACAGGAUUAGAUACCCCUGUAGUC